UAUCCCUUUAGUAACCACCACAUUUUGUAGUGUAAUAUCCCUUUAAUAACCACCACAUUUUGUAGUGUAAUAUCCCUUUAGUAACACCACAUUUGUAGUGUAAUAUCCCUUUAGUAACACCACAUUUUGUAGUGUAAUAUCCCUUUAGUAAAACCACAUUUUGUAGUGUAAUAUCCCUUUAGUAACACCACAUUUUGUAGUGUAAUAUCCCUUUAGUAACACCACAUUUUGUAGUGUAAUAUCCCUUUAAUAACCACCACAUUUGUAGUGUAAUAUCCCUUUAGUAACACCACAUUUUGUAGUGUAAUAUCCCUUUAAUAACCACCACAUUUUGUAGUGUAAUUUCCCUUUCGUAACACCACAUUUUCUAGUGUAAUAUCCCUUUAAUAACCACCACAUUUGUAGUGUAAUAUCCCUUUAGUAACCACCACAUUUUGUAGUGUAAUAUCCCUUUAAUAACCACCACAUUUUGUAGUGUAAUUUCCCUUUCGUAACACCACAUUUUCUAGUGUAAUAUCCCUUUAAUAACCACCACAUUUCCUAGUGUAAUAUGCCUUUAAUAACCACCACAUUUUCUAGUGUAAUAUCCCUUUAAUAACCACCACAUUUCCUAGUGUAAUAUCCCUUUAAUAACCACCACAUUUUGUAGUGUAAUAUCCCUUUAGUAACACCACAUUUUGUAGUGUAAUAUCCCUUUAGUAACACCACAUUGUGCUGUCUGUAUUUUAAGCCAUGUCCCACAGCAGUCCUUAACAGGUUCAUCUUAACUUCCAUGUGUCUGUCCUCUUAACAGAUGCAUCUUAACUUCCAUGUUUCUGUCCUCUUAACAGGUUCAUCUUAACUUCCAUGUUUCUGUCCUCUUAACAGGUUCAUCUUAACUUCCAUGUUUCUGUCCUCUUAACAGAUUCAUCUUAACUUCCAUGUUUCUGUCCUCUUAACAGGUUCAUCUUAACUUCCAUGUUUCUGUCCUCUUAACAGAUUCAUCUUAACUUCCAUGUUUCUGUCCUCUUAACAGAUUCAUCUUAACUUCCAUGUUUCUGUCCUCUUAACAGAUUCAUCUUAACUUCCAUGUUUCUGUCCUCUUAACAGGUUCAUCUUAACUUCCAUGUUUCUGUCCUCUUAACAGAUUCAUCUUAACUUCCAUGUUUCUGUCCUCUUAACAGAUUCAUCUUAACUUCCAUGUUUCUGUCCUCUUAACAGGUUCAUCUUAACUUCCAUGUUUCUGUCCUCUUAACAGGUUCAUCUUAACUUCCAUGUUUCUGUCCUCUUAACAGAUUCAUCUUAACUUCCAUGUUUCUGUCCUCUUAACAGAUUCAUCUUAACUUCCAUGUUUCUGUCCUCUUAACAGAUGCAUCUUAACUUCCAUGUUUCUGUCCUCUUAACAGGUUCAUCUUAACUUCCAUGUGUCUGUCCUCUUAACAGAUUCAUCUUAACUUCCAUGUGUCUGUCCUCUUAACAGGUUCAUCUUAACUUCCAUGUUUCUGUCCUCUUAACAGGUUCAUCUUAACUUCCAUGUUUCUGUCCUCUUAACAGGUUCAUCUUAACUUCCAUGUUUCUGUCCUCUUAACAGAUUCAUCUUAACUUCCAUGUUUCUGUCCUCUUAACAGAUUCAUCUUAACUUCCAUGUUUCUGUCCUCUUAACAGAUUCAUCUUAACUUCCAUGUUUCUGUCCUCUUAACAGAUUCAUCUUAACUUCCAUGUUUCUGUCCUCUUAACAGAUUCAUCUUAACUUCCAUGUUUCUGUCCUCUUAACAGAUUCAUCUUAACUUCCAUGUUUCUGUCCUCUUAACAGAUUCAUCUUAACUUCCAUGUUUAUGUCCUCUUAACAGGUUCAUCUUAACUUCCAUGUUUCUGUCCUCUUAACAGGUUCAUCUUAACUUCCAUGUUUCUGUCCUCUUAACAGAUUCAUCUUAACUUCCAUGUUUCUGUCCUCUUAACAGAUUCAUCUUAACUUCCAUGUUUCUGUCCUCUUAACAGAUUCAUCUUAACUUCCAUGUUUCUGUCCUCUUAACAGAUUCAUCUUAACUUCCAUGUUUCUGUCCUCUUAACAGAUUCAUCUUAACUUCCAUGUUUCUGUCCUCUUAACAGAUUCAUCUUAACUUCCAUGUUUAUGUCCUCUUAACAGAUUCAUCUUAACUUCCAUGUUUCUGUCCUCUUAACAGAUUCAUCUUAACUUCCAUGUUUAUGUCCUCUUAACA